UACAGAGGAUGCAAGCGUUAUCCGGAAUGAUUGGGCGUAAAGCGUGCGCAGGCGGUUUUGUAAGUCUGACGUGAAAUCCCCGGGCUCAACCUGGGAAUUGCGUUGGAGACUGCAAGGCUGGAGUCUGGCAGAGGGGGGUAGAAUUCCACGUGUAGCAGUGAAAUGCGUAGAGAUGUGGAGGAACACCGAUGGCGAAGGCAGCCCCCUGGGUCAAGACUGACGCUCAUGCACGAAAGCGUGGGGAGCAAACAGG
rnacentral:rRNA from 1 species